CUGCUGUUGACCGUAGACCCACGUGAAAAUGGCACGUCAAACGUCAAAUUACGAAGUGCUGUUUGGAUAAAUAGUUGCACUGAUCUACUGUUUUUAUACUCUUCAAUCUCUUUGUGCCAAAAUGGGGGAUCAUGCAUAUUCCAUGAUCGUUCAGAAAGGGAAGGGGCUGCUCUACAGGCUGCUAAAGAUACCGGGUGCUGAGUUGAAACUCUCCUACACUAGCUCAAAGAUGGAGGGCAAAGAGAUUGAGAUCGACAACGACCUGAAACCGCUGCAGUUCUACUCCAUCGAAGACGGAGACAAGGUCCUUGUCUGCUGGUUGUGAUCAGCAAAGGUCCGGAUUGGUUGCCUGAUGACUCAAACUGAAUUUUUCCGCUUCCGUGGCAUAACGUUUGGCAAGGGGUUUGGGUAGCCAGGCAACCGGAUUGGAAGUUUAAGCGAUAUUCCGAAAUCCAUGAGAUAAAUGUACAGCACUAAAACUGGGACGAAAACACAGCGCAAUAUCUAUUCAGCCAGAGGAGACCAAUCGAUGUAGGAGAAGGAAACACUUGGGUUGUGUUCAUUUGGCACGAAACGGAAGAGAACUGUCCAAAACUAAGUGAAACGGGAAAGGAACAUCUGAACUUGUCCAAUAAGAGACCCUAGUGUCAUGUGCCCUUUAGAACACAACCCAAGUGUGCACUAUGUGAACAAUUUGUGUAUUUGUAUUUAUUAGGAUCGUAUGAAGAGCUUACAUCAUAAAUACAACAAUUAAUAAUGCAAUAAAAUAUUACAAAAUUACUCUUA